rnacentral:sRNA from 21 species
AUGUACCACGCGUCCACUCCGGUUGCUCCGCGCCGUCGUAUCCGCCUGACGACUGCCCGCUAGGUGUUGUCAGCU